UUCGGAUUGUAAACCACUGUCAGGGGUUACCAAGUUCUGAGGAGCCCCAGAGGAAGGCACGGCUAACUCUGUGCCAGCAGCCGCGGUAAGACAGAGGUGCCGAGCGUUAGGCGGAAUCACUGGGCUUAAAGCGUGUGUAGGCGGGCGAUCAAGUACCUUGUGAAAUCCCACGGCUCAACCGUGGAACCGCUGGGUAUACUGGUUGUCUUGAGCCGGCCAGGGGCGAGCGGAACAGACGGUGGAGCGGUGAAAUGCGUAGAUAUCGUCUGGAACGCCGAAGGUGAAAACAGCUCGCUGGGGCCGCGCUGACGCUGAGACACGAAAGCCAGGGGAGCGAACGGGAUUAGAUACCCCGGUAGUCCUGGCCCUAAACGAUGUCCACUAGAUCGCUGGACUUUUGACGGUCUGGCGGUCGAAGCCAAAGUGCUAAGUGGACCGCCUGGGAAGUACGGUCGCAAGGCUAAAACUCAAAUGAAUUGACGGA
rnacentral:rRNA from 1 species